UACAGAGGGUGCGAGCGUUAAUCGGAAUUACUGGGCGUAAAGCGCGCGUAGGCGGCUUUUCAAGUCGAUUGUGAAAUCCCCGGGCUUAACCUGGGAACUGCAGUCGAGACUGUCUAGCUAGAGUAUGGGAGAGGGAAGUGGAAUUCAGGUGUAGCGGUGAAAUGCGUAGAUAUCUGAAGGAACAUCAGUGGCGAAAGCGACUUCCUGGACCAAUACUGACGCUCAUGUGCGAAAGCGUGGGGAGCAACAGGAUUAAGAA
rnacentral:rRNA from 1 species